UCGUGCUAGACGGGGAGCUAGCGGUGCCCUGAACCCGCAAUCCGCUAUAGCGGGGUUGAAUUCCCGCUUGAGGUUUUGGCGCCGUAGGGACUGCCCUUGAUAAGUAGUGAUGAUGGCCCGGCCCUGCGCGGCGAGGCGCCGCGAACCCCGUCAGGCCCGGAAGGGAGCAGCGGUAAGUGGUAAGUUUCGGGCGCCGCAGGCAAACCGAGCCGGAGCCGGCUGUCGGGGUAAGCCUAUGAGCCCGAAUCGACAGCGGGUGCACGA
rnacentral:SRP_RNA from 1 species